rnacentral:snRNA from 1 species
GUACUUGCUUCGGCGGUACAUAUACUAAAACUGGAACGGUACAGAGAAGAUUAGCAUGGCCUCAGUAGUGGCCAACGUCUGUGGAGAGCUUGGGCCCGCAAUU